rnacentral:rRNA from 1 species
AUUGAACGCUGGCGGCAUGCCUUACACAUGCAAGUCGAACGGCAGCACGGGAGCAAUCCUGGUGGCGAGUGGCGAACGGGUGAGUAAUAUAUCGGAACGUGCCCAGUCGUGGGGAUAACGUAGCGAAAGUUACGCUAAUACCGCAUACGAUCUAAGGAUGAAAGCGGGGGAUCGCAAGACCUCGCGCGAUUGGAGCGGCCGAUAUCAGAUUAGGUAGUUGGUGAGGUAAAGGCUCACCAAGCCGACGAUCUGUAGCUGGUCUGAGAGGACGACCAGCCACACUGGGACUGAGACACGGCCCAGACUCCUACGGGAGGCAGCAGUGGGGAAUUUUGGACAAUGGGCGCAAGCCUGAUCCAGCAAUGCCGCGUGCAGGAUGAAGGCCUUCGGGUUGUAAACUGCUUUGUACGGAACGAAACGGUGAGCUCUAAUACAGUUUGCUAAUGACGGUACCGUAAGAAUAAGCACCGGCUAACUACGUG